AUUGAACGCUGGCGGCAGGCCUAACACAUGCAAGUCGAACGAGUGGCGGACGGGUGAGUAAUGUCUGGGAAACUGCCCGAUGGAGGGGGAUAACUACUGGAAACGGUAGCUAAUACCGCAUACCAUCGGAUGUGCCCAGAUGGGAUUAGCUAGUAGGUGGGGUAACGGAUCACCUAGGAGACGAUCCCUAGCUGGUCUGAGAGGAUGACCAGCAACACUGGAACUGAGCAACGGUCCAGACUCCUACGGGAGGCAGCAGUGGGGAAGAUUGCACAAUGGACGCAAGCCUGAUGCAGUCAUGCCGCGUGUAUGAAGAAGGCCUUCGGGUUGGAAAGUACUUUCAGCGGGGAGGCGUUACCCGCAGAAGAAGCACCGGCUAACUCCGUGCCAGCAGCCGCGGUAAUAC
rnacentral:rRNA from 1 species